CGCGGUAAUACGUAGGUGGCAAGCGUUGUCCGGAAUUAUUGGGCGUAAAGCGCGCGCAGGCGGCUUCUUAAGUCUGAUGUGAAAUCUCGGGGCUCAACCCCGAGCGGCCAUUGGAAACUGGGGAGCUUGAGUGCAGAAGAGGAGAGUGGAAUUCCACGUGUAGCGGUGAAAUGCGUAGAGAUGUGGAGGAACACCAGUGGCGAAGGCGACUCUCUGGUCUGUAACUGACGCUGAGGCGCGAAAGCGUGGGGAGCAAACAGGAUUAGAUACCCUGGUAGUCCACGCCGUAAACGAUGAGUGCUAGGUGUUAGGGGUUUCGAUGCCCGUAGUGCCGAAGUUAACACAUUAAGCACUCCGCCUGGGGAGUACGGCCGCAAGGCUGAAACUCAAAGGAAUUGACGGGGACCCGCACAAGCAGUGGAGCAUGUGGUUUAAUUCGAAGCAACGCGAAGAACCUUACCAGGUCUUGACAUCCUUUGACCACCCAAGAGAUUGGGCUUCCCCUUCGGGGGCAAAGUGACAGGUGGUGCAUGGUUGUCGUCAGCUCGUGUCGUGAGAUGUUGGGUUAAGUCCCGCAACGAGCGCAACCCUUGAUCUUAGUUGCCAGCAUUAAGUUGGGCACUCUAAGGUGACUGCCGGUGACAAACCGGAGGAAGGUGGGGAUGACGUCAAAUCAUCAUGCCCCUUAUGACCUGGGCUA
rnacentral:rRNA from 2 species